UUUCGACUGGAUUAUUUGACUGUUUUUUUUUCGACUGAGAUAUUUCACUGAUUUUAUUGACUGAUUUAUUCGACUGAGCUAUUUGACAGGAUUUAUCGAUAUCAUCAUCGCAAGGAAGGAUCUAACGCUUACCGUUUAGGCCGGGGAUAGUCCCCCCCCCACUCCUCCCCCACCCCCCACAUGCUCAGGGGCGUAAAUGUGGGGGGGGGGGAGGUGGUACACCCCCCAGGAAAAAAAAUAGUCGGUCGCAAAAUCAGUGCAGUCGGUCGCAAAAUAAGAGCAGUCGGUAUCAAAAUAAGUGCUCACUGCACACGUCACGCUACUCACGCAAAACUUCAGUAUAAAGCAACCUUGUCAACUUAUCAUGUUUGAAAAAAUGAUGUGUUUCACUCUUAUUCUGUUGUGAGUAUGUAGGUCCAAGAACAAAAUUUCCCCCAGGGAGAAAAAUAGUCGGUCUCAAAAUAAGUGCAGUCACUGCAGUCGGUCUCAAAAUUAUGCGUCGCCGUCUUAAUGAAUUAAUGAGAUAUAUGUAUUAAUGGGUGUAAUGCAGGAGACAGUAAAUGGCUAUUCUUUCUGGAACACAUGUCACCGCCAAUCAUUUGAGAAUUGAGGAGUUCACAAAGGUAACAAAUUGUUGAUGUUUUUGUGUGUCGACUAACCUUAGAAAAUGACACCAAUCAAUUGGAUACGCCAAUGCAGAAUGGCCGUAUUCAACGGCUAAUCGUUACUUCUGCUAUAAGCACUACAAUUUAUUGCACCAUUCAGCUCUCAGUUCAUGUGACCUUUAACAGCCCCAGAAGUUAAGCCAAGUUCCUUCCUUCAAUAUGGAAAUAUCUAUUAUCCAGAUAAGAUAACGGCCAAAACUGCGGCUGAUACAAAUGUGCAACAGCUUUCAUUUUGGCGUAUACCUUUCUUAUCUAUUGUUUAAUAUAUAAUUAACCUCAUAAUAUCCGAAAUAAAUAUUUAAACCUGUGUAUCAAUGCCGGAACAUAUUAAUAAAAGAUAACAUCAAUCACUGUCAACAACAACCUAUAAAUACGGGGAAUCAGUUAAACUGAAAUGAGUGUCCUCAAAUCGUGAUUUGUAACAGACAUUAUCAUUCUAAAAAGAUGCAGGUUUUAGUAGUAUUUAUGGUCGUUCUUGUAACAGCCUGCGUAUCAGCAGAUGACUGUCCACCAUUAGCUUGUCAAACUAAAUUAUGCCCAACAGGCCGUGUUCAUGAUACAGAUGGAUGCCCAACGUGUGAUUGUUGUGGUGAUGUAAUGUGUGCAAUGUUUUGUCCAACUGGUAAUACAAUUGGACCCGAUGGCUGCAAACAGUGCCGUUGUUGUCCUGAAGUAAUGUGUACGAUGUAUUGCGAGAAGGGCUUAAAAAUCAAGGAGGAUGGUUGUCAAAAGUGUGAAUGUAACUAAAGGAUUUUACAGACUAAGUCUAAAAUACAUAGAAUGCAAUAUAAUGACAUAUUAUGAUAUAUGUUUCCGAAAUAAAUAUCUUCCCUGUUCCU